UCCAACUUUGCUCUCUGACAGCAGCGGCCAUUUUCGCCUUCUUCACUUGAUUUUUUUGCGCUUGUUCACGGAUUCUCAUUUUUUGAAGCCAUGAGCAGAUUCCACGAGUGCACAUAACGCGGAAACCAGUGCACAAAACUAGAUUUGAAUUUUUUUUACCGCUGAGAAUUAUCAAUCCGGAUCAUGCAUGCAAACUGCAGCAAAGUUACAAUGCAUUCGUUCAGAACUAAACUGACUUCAAAGAAUGUCCUAAAUACCUCUCGAGAUAUUUGUUCACCACUUCCUAGGCGUAGAAGACUGUAGUGAGUAACCUUCUGGAGCGAAUGGCGGACUCUGCCCCGACCAUGAACUUCUUUUCAUCCUGUUCAAGGUCAAAUAUUACUCAGUUUGCGUUGAAGAAUAACAAUUACAUUCGUGAAUGGCUGAACUGAGAAUACCCUAAUGAUUUCUCUUGGAUUUCGUAUCCCAAGUUCCUCUACUUGGCUGGAUAAAUCGCCUCUUGACUUCAUCAUACUGGAAUUGGACUUGUAGAUAAUAGCGAGCAAUGAAUUGCGUUUGAACGAUGGCGUUGUGAAAUGGCUUGUGCUUGUCCUGGCGCGGGCCUGGAUUUCAGAUUUCUUAUCAAUGGAAACCUGCUCAACCCUCCACGGUCACAAUAUCUGCAGUCAUCAAGCCUAAGCCAUGUGGAGUUUGCUGAAGACGCUGCUCUGAUUGCUCCUAUCCGUCCUGCUGCUGCUGCUGUGUUUUAACGGCGAACUUCAUGAAGCAAGACCAAGCUUGUAUGUUGAGCCUAUGGAAUCCUGGUGACGGAACAGCUUCCGCUGCCUGUUGAGGGGAUGGCUAUUGACCAUGCCUUGUUUGUAUACCUUGGCUGCCUGGUGCCUGAUGUCCUGAUGGCAGGAUGGGUGCGCAGGACGAUCAGCGGCUUGCUGCAGCUUCCCUUGCCCUUGGUGCUAUCAGCUGUCUUUAACGACUGGAAUCUAUCCUAGCACAGAACGCAUGUGUUGUAGUGAUCAGCUUCCUUCACCUGCCUCCGCCUGCCUCGAAUCUCCACGUAACCGUUGUUGCCAUAGUAUUCAGUUGUUCCUGUGGGUCGCUUCAAUGGUCUAACAAUGGAUAUUAUCGGUCAAAUCAUAGGUACGGCUAGGCGAUGAACAUUUCCAGCAGAUUUCUUUACCCGCGGCUUCAUUCAUUCUAUACUUGCAGUGAAAUCUUUGCUAUGACCUAGUUUUCUUACCUUGUCUCCCCGCCCCAUUCCCAUUGUUUUUCACAAUGUGCUGAGUCACACGCAUUAAAGAAGGUGCUACCGCCUGUUUGGGCUGUGACUUUUAAUAAAAUUCAACACUGAUAAGAACAACAAUGGUGGACCCAUCA